rnacentral:rRNA from 1 species
GGCUAAGGCCGUGCCACCUUCAACGAGCCCGAUCUCGUCUGAUCUUGGAACCUAAGCAGGGAUGGGCCUAUUUAGUAUCUGGAUGGGAGACCACCUAGGAAUAGCAGGUUCUGUAGGCA